rnacentral:rRNA from 1 species
AAAUUGAAGAGUUUGAUCAUGGCUCAGAUUGAACGCUGGCGGCAGGCCUAACACAUGCAAGUCGAGCGGUAGCACAGAGAGCUUGCUCUCGGGUGACGAGCGGCGGACGGGUGAGUAAUGUCUGGGAAACUGCCUGAUGGAGGGGGAUAACUACUGGAAACGGUAGCUAAUACCGCAUAAUGUCGCAAGACCAAAGUGGGGGACCUUCGGGCCUCAUGCCAUCAGAUGUGCCCAGAUGGGAUUAGCUAGUAGGUGGGGUAACGGCUCACCUAGGCGACGAUCCCUAGCUGGUCUGAGAGGAUGACCAGCCACACUGGAACUGAGACACGGUCCAGACUCCUACGGGAGGCAGCAGUGGGGAAUAUUGCACAAUGGGCGCAAGCCUGAUGCAGCCAUGCCGCGUGUGUGAAGAAGGCCUUCGGGUUGUAAAGCACUUUCAGCGGGGAGGAAGGCGGUGAGGUUAAUAACCUCAUCGAUUGACGUUACCCGCAGAAGAAGCACCGGCUAACUCCGUGCCAGCAGCCGCGGUAAUACGGAGGGUGCAAGCGUUAAUCGGAAUUACUGGGCGUAAAGCGCACGCAGGCGGUCUGUCAAGUCGGAUGUGAAAUCCCCGGGCUCAACCUGGGAACUGCAUUCGAAACUGGCAGGCUAGAGUCUUGUAGAGGGGGGUAGAAUUCCAGGUGUAGCGGUGAAAUGCGUAGAGAUCUGGAGGAAUACCGGUGGCGAAGGCGGCCCCCUGGACAAAGACUGACGCUCAGGUGCGAAAGCGUGGGGAGCAAACAGGAUUAGAUACCCUGGUAGUCCACGCCGUAAACGAUGUCGAUUUGGAGGUUGUGCCCUUGAGGCGUGGCUUCCGGAGCUAACGCGUUAAAUCGACCGCCUGGGGAGUACGGCCGCAAGGUUAAAACUCAAAUGAAUUGACGGGGGCCCGCACAAGCGGUGGAGCAUGUGGUUUAAUUCGAUGCAACGCGAAGAACCUUACCUGGUCUUGACAUCCACAGAACUUUCCAGAGAUGGAUUGGUGCCUUCGGGAACUGUGAGACAGGUGCUGCAUGGCUGUCGUCAGCUCGUGUUGUGAAAUGUUGGGUUAAGUCCCGCAACGAGCGCAACCCUUAUCCUUUGUUGCCAGCGGUCCGGCCGGGAACUCAAAGGAGACUGCCAGUGAUAAACUGGAGGAAGGUGGGGAUGACGUCAAGUCAUCAUGGCCCUUACGACCAGGGCUACACACGUGCUACAAUGGCAUAUACAAAGAGAAGCGACCUCGCGAGAGCAAGCGGACCUCAUAAAGUAUGUCGUAGUCCGGAUUGGAGUCUGCAACUCGACUCCAUGAAGUCGGAAUCGCUAGUAAUCGUAGAUCAGAAUGCUACGGUGAAUACGUUCCCGGGCCUUGUACACACCGCCCGUCACACCAUGGGAGUGGGUUGCAAAAGAAGUAGGUAGCUUAACCUUCUGGGAGGGCGCUUACCACUUUGUGAUUCAUGACUGGGGUGAAGUCGUAACAAGGUAACCGUAGGGGAACCUGCGGUUGGAUCACCUCCUUA